UACAGAGGGUGCGAGCGUUAAUCGGAAUUACUGGGCGUAAAGCGCGCGUAGGCGGCUUUGCAAGUCGGGUGUGAAAUCCCCAGGCUUAACCUGGGAACUGCAUUCGAGACUGCAUUGCUAGAGUAUGGGAGAGGGAAGUGGAAUUUCCGGUGUAGCGGUGAAAUGCGUAGAUAUCGGAAGGAACAUCAGUGGCGAAAGCGACUUCCUGGACCAAUACUGACGCUCAUGUGCGAAAGCGUAGGGAGCAAACAGG
rnacentral:rRNA from 1 species